GAAUUGCUGAGAGCAGUUUCAAGGAUUUGGCUGAUAAUGUGCUGGAAAAUUGCUGCUGCCCCUUGCAGCCUGAACGGUAUCGUUUUAAAACCCAAGAGGGUUGAGAAUGUGGUCUCCUUCUGGGAGGAUGGAGACAGGGCAAUCUGCUAAUAGCCCUUGGUUAGGUCCAGGGCUUUGAAGCGGAGCCUGGAGCUGGAGCGCAGAGCAGCUCCGGAGCAGUGGAGCUGCAGGUUUUUGCCUGGAGCUGGAGCGGAGCCGGAGCACAGCUCUAAAGCCCUGGACCUAACUUAUGUCAAUGGUAUUGAGGUAUUGUGAUGGGCCCAACCACUCUAACAGCUCAUCCACCAUUGGCAUUGGGUAGGUAUCAAACUUCACAACGGUAUUGACCUUGCAAAAGGCUAUACAAAAUUGGACUAUUCCUCUUUGAGGACUAGGACUAUAGGGCUCCUCCAAUCAUUGUUAGACUGCUCAAUAACUCCCAUUCUCAGCACUACCUGUACCUCUUCUCUUACUGUGUCCCACAUCCUUUUAGGUAAUGGUGAGGGAUUCUCCCUAACCAGUUUCCCUAGUGCUGUUUCCAGAUGAUGUAUUGUGUUUGUUCUCCCUGAACACUGAGCAAAGGCUCGGAUCAUUUGCACUAAUUGGAUCUUCUGAUCUGGUGAAAGGACCUUGUUCAGCAGUAUGAGUCCAGGUUUUUGGCAAGCAGCUACCUCGGGCCCUAGUUCAGGGCUCACCGGCCAAGGGUCUAUAAGGAGAGCUUCCCAGGUCUUUCAUGGCUUGGGAAAAUUUACAUGGUAGACCUUAGUCUUCUUCCUCCUGUCUGGUAGGUGGAUCUCAUAAUCUGCCAUGCCCUUUUGUCUAAGCAACUUGAAUGGGCUCUGCUAGUGAGCCAUCAGUUUGGACUCUGAGGAUGGUAAUAGCAACAGAACCCCGGCUCUUGGAUGGAAAGUACAUAAGCCUGCCUUUUGACUGUACCCUUGUUCUCCCCUCUGUUGAGCCCAGACGAGGGUCUCUUUUGCAAACAUGCUCAAUGUCUUAAGGUGUAUAAUGUACUGGGUUGUGUCGAGUGUAUUUGCAUCUUGCUCCUCCCAACCUUCCUGCACCCAAGAUUCCCCAGGGCUGGUGCCAAUAGAGCAGUGCAAAGGUGAGUGCAAUAGCCAUAUGAGUAUGAUUAAGAACUGAUUAGUGUUAAGAAUAACUUUAACUUUGAAUUUAAUUAAUUUCAUUAGCGGGCUAAUUAGUUUGAGAUAAAAUUCAUUCUGUACUCAACGAAUUAGUGCUGUACUUUUGGGGAAGACACACUGUAUUUUUAAAUCAAAGUUUUCAAUGCAGAAGAAAAAGCUUUAACUAUGAAUUUGCAACUGGUACCCCCAUAACAGAUCUUAUUUAAUACAGGUGUAACAUGGGUGAUCACCUUCUCUCACACUGUACCACUCAGCCCUUCUUGUAUGAGGUGGAUUCCUGUCUGGCUGGCCCAAGAGCUUCUGCUCAUUUCACAUGAAUCACUAAACAGCUAUUGGAUCACAGUGGCUUUCAGUCACUUGUGACUUGGCCCAGAUUAGAAAUGGUGAUUCAGAGUUGAAACACUCUCAAUUCUCUUACCAUUUAAUCCACUGUACCAUCCAGAUAUCCUUCUAUCGAUGACUGCAGUGAUUCUUGUGUUUUGAGAACAAGCCAAGAUACUAACCUCUUAUUUCAUUGAAAGCAUGUUGCCUCCGUUUGCCAAGAUAGUGCAGAAUCUAAUGGUUUUACUGGAUUAAUCAUUUAUUCUAAAUGUUCCGGUAUCAGCAUUUGUGAGAAAUCCAUUCUACCAUGAGCUUGCUAAGGACUUGUCUGCACAGGACAGAAGUUAUUCUGGAAUAAGGUAGAGUGUGAAUUUAAAAUGCAAUAGCUAUUCUGGAAUAACUUCCAGUGUGGACAUUUUUAUUUCAUAAGUUUUUUGAAUAGCUAUUGUCAGUUUUCCUAUAUACAGAAGCCCUGAAAUCCUACUUCUGGAGCAUUUUGUCUGAAAUGUAUAGCUUGUAUCUGAUUAAGGUGCAAACAAUUAAACAUGUGUAUAAUUUCAUUCGUGUGAGUAAUCCUAUUGGUUACAUUGGAUUAAUCACUUGAGUAAAUUUAUACACAUGCCAUAAAUGUUUUGCGGGUUUGGAACCUGAUAUUGCAAAUUCCUUGGGGAAGGAUCAUGUUCUUCCUCUCUUGGUACAGCACCAAGCACACGCGUGCUCUGUAAAUUAAUAAAUCUGCUGAGCGUCAACUGGCUGCCUCCAGACCCUGUAAAUGUUGCCUGUUGUUUGUAGCCUCUAUUAUUUAUUUGUUGAUUAAACCAACCGAGUACAAUUGUGGCUGUCUGAACUUAUUGUGAACCAAGGUAGUUUGUCAAAUAGACAGUUUUGUCUUACUAUAAACUGAGGCCAAUAUUUUGAAAAAUGGGUGCCAGAAAGCUAUGCAUCUAAAGCUGUAUUUAGGCACUUAACUAAAAUUGACAUAAUAGAUAGUUGAAUAAAACUCCCAUAAUUUUAAGAGGUGCUAAGUGCUUCUGUUAUACAUUGUUAUAUAACUUUAGGCAUCUGAGUUUGAAAAUAUGCAUUGUUUUCUUGCAAGUUUUGUUAAACAGUGAAUUGAGGGCUAGCAAAUUGAAGAGCCUUUCUGCAUCAUGGAGAAUAACCCUAGCAAAAAUAAAUAGCUGUGAAUACACAUCUGAUGAAGAGAAGGUAAAUAACAAUGAUUUUUUUUCCAGAAAACAUCUGUAGAAACAACAAAAUUAAAACAAAAAAUACUUUGCUGCAAAAGAACAACUUUUUCUUCUGGAGGACACAAGAAUGUUUUUCAUUAACAUGAAUCAUGGGAAACAUCGCAGCUUCAUCUAUUCAGGCCUGACAUACGAUUUCUAUCAAGGGCACAUUUCGUUUACCCUAGCCUUAUUCAGCACUGCUCUUAUGCAGCAGUCUCUGCCAGCUGUUUUUACUGCUGUUUGCUAGUAAUUGAUUGCUUUGUUCCUGGUCUGUGAAAUAAUGUCACUUAGUCCUUAAGCUUCUAGUGGGCUACUGGUUUCUUUCUUACCAAAUAUUAAUUGUGCCAAAAAAUAGAGAGAGGUCCCAAACAAACCCUAGAUUUGAACUCCCCUGAUUUUUGGUAAAGUUCAGACCCAGAUCAGAGUUUUUCAGCUUUGCCUCAGCUCUGCGUAUAGUACAGUAUAUCAACUAUUCCAUAUCCUUUAACAUAACACUAACUUACUAAAAUGUCUGCUUCCUUAUGUAGCAGCCACAUGUUCUAUUUUUAUCUCACCAGUGAAUACAAGAAGUUAAAUUACCCACAGAAACAGUUCUCCCAUUACUAAUGGUCAUGUGGCUCCAGGACCUGGGAGAUCAAAAAGGGCAGAGUAAAUGUCUGAAAAUAUCCCUGGGAACAGACAAUAAAUGGACAGAUGUGUGCAUUUCACAUCAAACAAGUAGAGGAAGAAAUAACUAGUAGACACAGUGGCUUUUAGAAAGCUUUUUAUGUAAAAAACACUGCUUCUAAAAUGAGGAGACAUUCGCUUUAUGGAUUUCCAACAUGUCUUACUUGAACCUGUGCAUUGUGCCUCCAAAGGACAAUUAGGUCUCUCAGACUUUGACAGGACUGCUGUGUGAGUAAACGCUCACCAACACGAGGAAGGGUUGAACAGUCUAGUCCACAAUAAAGGACAAAUUUCAAUAUCCUUUUAAGUUGAUGGAAUUUUUACCAUUGACUGAAACGGGAACAGAAUUUGGUCUUGAGGAAGAAUUCAAGUGAAGGGAUUCCCCUGUUAUGCAUUCAAGGAUUGCAUUAGGUCUUUUGGCUACAGAAUCAUACUGGAAGCUUAGGUGAUUAUCCAAAUCUUUUUCAGAGUUACUGCUUCCCAGAAUAGAGUCCCCCAGCAUAAAUUCCAAGGACGUUUUAAUACUGGCAGCAUGAGACCUCCAGCAUAUGUCACUCCAACAUCCCCAUGACUACACAACUUUCCCCCCUACAUAUACAGGAUCUACAGCUCCUGACAGUAAAACUAUGCUGCCAAGAGGGCAGGCGCAGCACCCCAAACACCACAGAAGUAGAUGGAGAAGGACUCUGGAAAAGCUGCUCAUAGGGAUGUACAGGAGAAACUCAGAGCAAUUUGAAUUCCAUCAGGUAAGGAAGGAGCGGGCUCUUCAGCAGAAGGAGACACUUAUGAACUGGUUCAUGGACAUGGAGAUGUGCCAUAGGGAACAGAAGCAUCCCUUAAUGGAGAGGUUCAUCGAACUGGUGGCUGAAAGAGUGUGGUAUCCUAUCCACCUCCUGCUAAGGCCCCAGAGCCCGCCCACCUCCUCUGGCUUCUGUUCAGGGUGCUACCAAACUGGCGGAUCCUGUUGCAGUGACCCACCCCUAACAGAGCAGAAGGAGAAUGAUGAGCUGGCGGGAGACCCAGAACACCACCAUGGAUAACCCAUAACUCCCUUGCUGGAGAAGUCCCUGGUUCUCACCAAGAGUCCCUGGUUCUCAGUGUCCCCUGUCGUUCACCCCUUCUGAUGAGGAGGGGAAGGAGAUGGGUGCAAGUAUGCUAAGCUGUGAGCAAUGUUCUCAGUUGUUAACAGUGACUUUGGUAAACAUAUGUUAUAGUUCUGAGGUAAGAAUCCUCUCAUUAAACCU